UUUACGGGAGGCAGCAGUGGGGAAUUUUGGACAAUGGGCGAAAGCCUGAUCCAGCCAUGCCGCGUGCAGGAUGAAGGCCUUCGGGUUGUAAACUGCUUUUGUACGGAACGAAAAGGUUUGGCCUAAUAAGCUGAGCUCAUGACGGUACCGUAAGAAUAAGCACCGGCUAACUACGUGCCAGCAGCCGCGGUAAU
rnacentral:rRNA from 1 species